UUGGCGGGCGGUUUGAAUGACGGAAGUGACGGCGGCUCGGCGAUGGCUCUCCCGCAGGCGCAGAAACGGCUGCUGGGCAGCUGAUGGGCAGGAGCUUACCAGGCUGGCUUGCUCUGAGCUGCAGUUACUGUGUCCAGGCUCCGGGUUCUCAGAACUGUCAUACAUAAAGUACACAGAAAUGAAAAGAAAAGUCGUGAACACUCACAAGCUGAGAUUGAGUCCUAAUGAGGAAGCCUUCAUUUUGAAGGAAGAUUAUGAAAGAAGGCGAAAACUAAGAUUGCUACAGGUUCGAGAACAAGAAAGAGAUAUCGCCUUACAGAUAAGAGAAGACAUAAAACAGAGGAGAAAUCAACAAUUUACACGUUUGGCAGAGGAGCUAAGGGCAGAAUGGGAAGAAUCACAAACUCAGAAAAUACAGAACUUGGAAAAACUGUAUUUGGCAAGUUUAAGAAGUAUGGGAGAGGGACAUCGACAGGCCAAAGAAAAUGAACCUGAUUUGGAUGCUUUGGCACAGCGGGCAGCAGAAAGGAAAAGAAAAGCAGAUUUGAGGCAUAAAGAAGCCUUGAAAGUACAGAAAAAUCAAAAAGAAAUAUUACUGAAACAAAAAACCUGGCAUAUAAAAGCUCGAAAGGAAGCACUGCUUGUGGAAAAAGAGAGAUCAGCCAAAAUUACAAGUCUGCCACCUCCUCCUCCAACUCUUUUUGAGAACAUUGAAGUAAAAAGAAUUUCUGCAGUCAAAACCAAUAGUUCUACCUACCAUCAUCUUCACACUUUUGUGAGUAGAGAGACAGACACAAAACAGCCAGAUGCUCGUUUGGCUGCUGAAGAGGAAGCUAAACGAUUGGAAGAACUACAAAAACAGGCAGCACAAGAGAGAAUGGAACGGUUUGAAAAGGCACAUGUACGGGGAUUCCAAGCAAUGAAGAAGAUCCAUUUGGCUCAAAAUCAGGAGAAACUAAUGAAAGAACUCAAACAGCUACAGCAAGAGGACCUGGCACGUAGGAGACAGACUGUAGCACAAAUGCCACCACAACUAGUUGAACUUCCAUACAAACGCAGUGAAAUGAAAGAAGACUGGCAGAGAGAAUUGGAAUUUGCCUUUGAAGAUAUGUACAAUGCAGACAGGAAGGUGAAAGGGAAUCUGAUUCUGCACCUUGAACCAGAGCCCUUGCCCACUAUGACUAAUCAGAUCCAAGAUGAAGAGCUGGACCUUUCAAUGGAACAAGAAAAUUUGGGUGCAGCUGAAGACCUUCCAGUGACAGAAGCUGAAAUAUGUUCUAGUGAAACAGAUGUUCCCUUGGUAAUGAAGACCCAACAGAUUCCUUCAAAAGUUCUUUUUAAAAAAUUAUUAAAUAAGAUCCGAAGCCAAAAAUCUCUCUGGACAAUUAAAUCUAUGUCUGAGGAUGAAAGUGAAAUGAUUACGACUGUUAGUGAAAUUGAGAGUAAAGCACCAACGGUUGAGUCAGGAACAAUUGCCAGCGAAGAGAGAACGUUAUCCUCUGGGCAGGAACAAGUUGUUGAAAGUGAUACACUAACAAUUGAGUCUGGACCACUUGCUAGUGAAGAUAAACCACUUUCGUGUGGUACAAACUCUGGAAAAGAACAAGAAAUAAAUGAGACUCUGCCUAUCACAACUGUAGCUCAGAGUUCAGUUCUACUUCAUCCUCAAGAAGAAGCAGCCAGGAUUAGAAUGUCAGCAAGGCAGAAACAGAUAAUGGAAAUAGAAGAGCAGAAGCAAAAGCAAUUGGAAUUACUUGAACAAAUUGAACAGCAGAAAUUAAGAUUAGAAACUGACUGCUUCAGGGCUCAGCUGGAAGAAGAAAAAAGAAAAAAAACUCAACCGACUGGGGUAGGAUGCAGAAAAUCUCAUCACUACAUAAAUCAUUUGGUUGGCAUUGCUCCAGCAUCAUGCCCUGUAAUUUCUGAUGAAGAUAGUCAUAGGCAGAUGAUUCGUAACUAUCAACAUCAGCUUUUACAACAAAACAGGUUACACAGGCAGUCUGUUGAAACAGCCAGGAAACGAUUACUUGAAUAUCAAACUAUGUUAAAAGGAAGGUGCCCAUCGGUGUCAGCUCCAUCAUUGAUAACUGAUUCUGUUAUAUCAGUGCCAUCAUGGAAAUCUGAGAGACCGACUGCUAUAUCAGAGCAUUGGGAUCAAGGUCAGAGACUCAAGUUGAGUCCUAACAAAUACCAACCCAUACAACCUAUACAGACCUCCAAAUUAGAACAAGAUCAUUUUCAGGUAGCGAGACAAAAUCACUUUCCACAAAGACAGGUGGAAACAACAGAAACAUUACACACUUCAGAUAUUUUAACCAAUCAAGCUUUAGAAUCACAAGAACAUCUAAGGCAAUUCUCUCAGACUGAAACACAACAGAGAGACUAUAAAUUGGUCCCCAAAGAUUCUGAGACACUUUCAAGGGCUUUGUCACAUGACAGGCAGCUAAUAUCACAGGAUGCUAGAAAAAUAUCUGAAACAUUUAGGGCAACAACUUUUCAAAGUUUAGAAUCCCAACAAUUGUUCUCAGAGAAUAGUGAAAAUAUAUCUUACCAUUUAACUGAACCUUCUUCAUUUGUACCACUGGUACCUCAGCAUUCUUUUAGUUCUCUGCCUGUUAAAGUUGAGUCAGGAAAAAUUCAAGAACCCUUUUCAGCCAUGAGCAAAAGUACAGUUUCCACAAGCCAUUCUAUAAUCAGCCAAAUGCAUGAUAGGCCUUUGCUGCCGUCAGAGAAUAUCACAGCCCAGCAAGGUAAUAUGAAGGCCCUCCAAGAACAGUUAGACCUACAGAAGAAAGUUCUUCAGGCAAGACAGGAAGCUCAGGAACAGUUACUUUUGUGCAAACAGAAAGAAUUGGAACAGCAAAUGGGCCUCUCGGUAUUCCUUCCCUUGGUAACUCCAGAUUCAUCUGCUUUAUUGCCUUCUGCCAAAGCAGAUUUGGGGAGAAUCCAGGAAUCUUCACCAACCAAGAAUAAUACUGCAGUUUCCUCAGACCAUCAUGUGAUCUCACAACUUCAGGAUAAGCGUUUGAGUCUUUCACAGCCUAUCCUAUCACAGCAAAAUAAUUUUAAAUUUCUCCAAGAGCAGUUGAAUAUUCAGAAGGAUAGCCUUCAGGCUAGGCGAGAAGCCCAGGAAGUAUUGUAUGUACAUAAACAGAGUGAAUUGGAUAGAAGAGUAUGUUCUGAACAGGCUGAGCCCUCUUUCCCAUUUCAGGUAGCUCAGCAUACAUUUACUUCACUACCAUCUGCUGAUACAAAAUCUGGAAAAAUACAGGAGCAACAUUCAUCUAAGAGCAAGAAAGGACUUGUUUCAUGCCAAUCUGACAUCCCCAUAUCUCAGGAUGGGUCUUUGAGUUUCCUACAGCAGUUCCUACCUCUACAUGAUAGUUUGAAGUUGCUCCAAGAACAGUUGACUAAACAGAGGGAUACUCUUCAGGCUAGGCAUGAAGCUCAGGUGGAAUUACUUUUACAUAGACAAAGAGAUUUGGGGGACAGUAAGUCUGGGCUGGUGAGCUCUUCAUCCUCACCAGUGGUUGUUCAGCAUUCAGUUGCUUCACAAGCUUCUGCUAAAGCUGAGCCUAGGAGAAUUCAGGAGCUUUAUUUAUCUGAGAAGGAGAAUGUAGGUCCCUCCUGUCGUUUGAUAAUCCCAACAUUUCAGGAUAAGUCUCUUAGUUUUCCACAGCAUAGCCUGGCACAGCAAGAAAAUUUGACAAUACUCCAAGAACAGUCACAAAUACAAAGAGUAAUACUUGGUGCUAAAGAAGGAACUCAGGAAUUUGUACACACAGAAAGUGAAUUGGAGAAAAUAAUUUCUUCUGAACAGACUGGCACCUCCUCAUCCCUUUCCCAGGUGGAUGAAUCUGAGGGAUUCCAGGAAUGUAUAUCAAUCAAGAGUGACAGUACCAUUCCCUUAAGCCAUCCUAAGAUCCCAAGAUGUCAGGAAAGACUUUUGAGAGUUUCACAACAUAUGCUACCUCUACAAGAUAAUUUGGAGGAACACCAAGCAUGGCUAGACACUGAGAAAGAAGCCUUUCAUGUCAGUCAGAAAACCCAAGAAAAUAUGUCUUCUGAACAAACUGGCUCAUCUUCAUUCAUACCCCAGUUGGUACAGCUUUCAUUUACUUCGUUAGCUUCAGCUGAGUCUGGCACAAUCCUGGAACCUCUUUUUACAGAGAGUGAAAGUAAAAUUUUUUCAAGCCACCUUCAGAUCCCACAAUUGCAGGAUAGGCUUUUGAGGAUAUCGCAACUUAUCCAGCCUCAACAAGAUAAUUUGAAGGCACUUCAAGAACAGUUAGCUACACAGAGAGAAGCCAUCAUUCUAGCUAGACAAGAAGCUCGGGAAGAAUUACUUUUACAUCAGAGUGAAUGGGAGGGAAGAAUAUCUCCCGAGCAGGUUGACACCUCUAACUUACCCCUAGUACCACAGCAUUCAUUCGCCUCAUUACCUCUUACUGAAUCUGAAAGAAACCAAGAACCAUGUUCAAUUAACAGUGAUAAUAUAGUAUCCUCAGGUCACUCAGAGAUACCAACAUUGCCUGAUGGGCUGUUGGGUUUAUCACAUCUUGUUUUACCUCAACAAGAUAAUUUGAUUGCACUUGAAGAACACUUGCAUGCACAGACAGAUUUCCUUCCUUCUAUUGAGAAAACCCAGAAAGAAUUGGUUUUGUCAAAACCAUGUAAAUUUGAGGAAAAGGUAUCUUCUGAGCAUUUUAUCCAGUCUCACCAUGGUGAUUUGCAGGCACUUCAACAGCAGUUAGAUACACAGAAGAAAGCCAUUCGAUCUAUACAGGAAGUCCAAGAAGAAUUGCUUUUGCAAAGAUUAAGUGAAUUGGAGAAAAGGGUAUCAUCUGAACAAGUUUGCUCCUCUUCAUUUGUAUCCCAGGUGCCUGUUGCUGACUCUGAAAGAACCCAGAAGUCUUUCCCAACCAAAAGUAAUGAUACUCUUCCCUCAAGUCAUUGUGAGAUUCCAAGAUUACAGGAUAGACUUUUGAGUUUAUCACAGCCUAUUCUGCCUCAGCAAGAUAAUAUGACAGCACAAUUGGAUGCACAAAGGGAAGUGAUGUAUUCUUAUGAGAAACCCCAGGAAGAACUGUCUUUAAACAAACAAAGAAAGUUGAACAAAAGUGAAUCUGCUGAGCAUACUAUCCCCUCUUUGUUUCUACCCAAGGAAACAGAGCAUUCGUUUAUUCCACUACCUUUUGCAGAAGCUAAACCUAAAAGCACUUGUGAAUUGUAUUCAUCCCAGAAUGAACAUGCAGCCCCCCCAAGUAAUCCUGUGAUCCCAGGGUUUCAAGAUAGACUUUUGAGUUUUUCACAGCCUGUCUUAACUCAGCAAGAUAACUUGGGACUUCAGAAACAGUUGGAUCUACAAAGAGAAGUUCUGCAUUAUAGCCAGAAAGCCCAAGAAAAAUUGCUUGUACAGAGACAAACAGCAUUGCAGCAGCAGAUACAGAAACAUGAAGAGACUUUGAAGGAUUUCUUUAAAGACAGUCAGAUAAGUAAGCCCACAGUUGAAAAUGAUUUAAAAACCCAGAAGAUGGGGCAGCUCAGAGAUUGGUUUCCUAAUACACAAGACCUAGCAGGAAAUGAUCAAGAAAAUAUUAGGCAUGCAGAUAGGAACAACUCUGAUGAUAAUCAUUUGGCUUCAGAAGAUACUAGUGCCAAGCAAAGUGGUGAGCAUCUGGAGAAAGAUCUGGGGAGAAGAUCCUCAAAGCCACCUGUAGCAAAAGUCAAAUGUGGUUUGGACUUAAACCAGCAUGAACUUAGUGCUAUACAAGAAGUAGAGUCACCAGCAAUUGGCAGAACUUCUAUACUAGGUAAACCAGGUAUUUAUCAAGACAGAGACCCCCUGCGAGUCUCAAUAAGCCGAGAACAAAGUUUCUUUGGGAGCCCACUGGCCCAUGAUCCAUUUAGUUGUCUUCAACCAGUUGGCCAAGAGAAUAUCUGUGGUGAUGACUAUGAUGAAGCAGUUAAGCUGAAGGAAUCUGUUGUUGAAAAUCAUGCAGUGUUAAGUUAUGCUGUGGAGGAAGAACAUACAUAUUUGGGUCCAACUGUGAAGCCAGAUGAUAAGGCUAAAACACUGUCUCAUGAACCAUUAUCUUCAGCAACUGUUUCCACUGGGAGCCUUUUAAGUUAUGAAAACACAGAUUUGAGCCUUACAGAUCCAGAGUCAUUUUCAGAGCACAUGGAUGAUAGCAAGCAAGAAUCUACCACCAGUAAAGAAGAGGAAACAAAUAUUAUAAGUUCCAUAGUUCCUUCAACACAAGAUAUUUAUCAGCAGCAGAACUCUUCAAACGUUCAUAAAUCUCUGUUGCCUGCAGUGGAUGAAACUACAUGUGGUCACACACACUUUCAGCAAAUGAUAGACAAGUACAUUAAUGAAGCAAAUUUGAUACCUGAAAAAACAGAUUUGCAAGAAUUGGAACACAUUUUUCCUAAUUUGCAUCAUCAGCUGUUUAAACCCUUAGAACCACAUCCAGAUUUUGACUUAUCAUCAUCAUCAUCCUCUGGGAUUUCUCCAGACAACAGAGACUUUUACCAGAGAUCAGAUUCUUCAUCUGAAAGCCACUGUGCUACUGGAUUAUCCAAAAGUACAGUUUAUUUCACAGCACUGAGGAGGACCAGCAUGCAUUCUUCUCUUAACACAAGUCUGAAUCAACAACCUGACACUAACUUGGCUCAUGUUGGAGCUCACAGUUUUGCUACAGAAAAUAUUAUUGGGGGAUCUGAACAAUGUUUUGAACAGCUUCAGCCAGAAUAUUCUUCACAGGAGGAGAGCCAGCAUGCUGAUCUACCAAGUAUUUUUAGCAUUGAAGCAAGAGAUUCUUCCCAAGGCAUGAAAAAUCAGAACUAUCCCUCUGAAGAACAUACUGAAAUAUUACAAAACAAGAAAAAAAUUGUUCAUUUCCAGCUUUCUGUAGGAAACUUUUCAGUCUACAGUUCAUCUGAUGAAGCUAAUGUAUUUGAUCAGUUAAAUGUACAGCAUAGCACUCCAUGUGGUUCUAACUCUAGUGAGUGCUCAACAAAACACCAACUAGAAAGCAGAAAAGAAAGUAUGGGCUUUGAAGAACUAUCAAAAAGAGGGGUUGUUACAAUGUUACAAAGUCAAGGACUCAUUGAAGAUAAUAAAAAUGAAACCUGUAGGGUUUUAGACAUAAAUCCACAGGUAGAGGAAACUGACUCUGGAUUAUGUGUAAGAACAGUGGAGAUGGGAACUUCAAUUCAGGCACCAUAUUCCUUAACUACUCAAAAUGAAAAAUAUUUUGAGAAUUCAGCUGAAACAGACAUUCCAAAAAUCACCAAAAAACUAUCUCAACUAGGAGAAUCAGAGCUUUUUGCAAGUUCUGGAUCAUUUUCAUUACAGAGCUCUAUACCAGUCUGGGUAAGUGAAAUCAGUGUUGUAUAAAUAACAUUUAAGUUCCUUUUUGGGAAAAAACUUUUUUCUUCGAAAAUUAGAGAUGAAGUUCCCACUAUGUUACCCAGGCUGAACUCAAACUCCUAGGAUCAAGGGAUCCUCCUGCCUCAACUUCCGAAGUAGUUUGGACACACCACAAUGCCUGGCAGGAAAAACCUGAAACAAAAUACAAGCAAAACUGCUUGUUAAUAUUCCUAUCCAGCUUGUGAUCACUGGAAAUAUCCAGCAUAAUGCAGAAACUUAAAAGUUUGAAAACUGUCUUCUGAGAGUAUUUUACAAAAGAUCCUUUUUCUCCCGAUUCAGAUAUCCUUUCUCCAACUUCCCUGAAAAAUGGUGGUUCUGCCUGUGCUUCAGCAUUUUCAGUGUUGAGCCUCAUUCCAGUGCAAUGAAUUCAUCCAUUAUUGGAAUAAGUAUUGGAAACCUGCUCCUCAUAUUAAGCAACUUAUAAUCUGCUUGCUUUCAACACCAGUCAACUGGUGACUGGUUUUCAUCUAGCAGAAACAGAAACUGGCCAUGGUAUAAUGGAAGAACCAGAACUUACUUUAGUAAGCACCACUGAUACCAGUAUUGCUGAAAUGGAUUUUGCAAAUUUAACCCUAGAAGAGAAGAGCGAGAAUGAAGCAAAAAGCUUCUUUCAGGUGAGUGAGUUUCUGCCUCUUGUAUCAGCAACAGAAGCCUCAGAUUAUCCAGCUGUAUCAGAACUUUCCAUAGAAAAACCAAGGACAGCAUCUACAGCAGAAACCCCUCGCAGGCUUACACCUAUAACAGGGAGCUUACAAGAAGCAUUUAUAAAGAGGAAAAAAUCAUUUAUGGAGAGAUCCCACCAGAGGCAGAAAGAAAUAAGGAAUAAAAUUCAUGUCUCUGAAAAUUCUCAUAUCAAAACAGUUAAAGAGAAACCAUCUAUAAGUUCAUCUGUGAGUCAUCUAAAGGGCGUGAAUAAAGUCACAGCAUCUUUUCCUGAAGACAGAAAGACUACACAGGCUCUAAGGCACCAAAGGGGUCUAAG